AGGUGAAAACAAAUCUAAUGCUUGAUGUUUAACAUCAAAAUCCAGCAUUUUUAUAUGGCUGUCCAUUUCCAGGGGAGACAAAAGCUCUAGAGACAAUACCUACUAAUUAAAUACAUAUCUAGGUAAAAGAGAUAUUAUUAGACCACCAUUAUGCAAACCAAAGAGAUAUUUUGUUAAAUAUCCUCAUAGGAUAAUCAUGACUGUAUAGAUUUUUACUUUGUUGAAUGUCUUUAUUUCAAAACUACACAUAAAAAUGUUUGGGGCCAACUGUUCUUGCAGAGCAGACAGUCUGGGGACAUGGAAACCCUCUUCAAGGCAUAGUCUAGUAAUUUGCAUUCCUACUCCCUCAUAGUUAAGAUUAGAUCCACUCUGAAUACUUCCUUUCAAACUUUCAUGGCAAUAUGGAAGCACCAUAUGGGUUUUACAGAGGAAAAAAACUAAUCAUAUAUCCUGCUGAAAAGAUUCACCAGGUCUGCUGGAGGGAUUUCCUGACUCAGCCAGCCAGCCUGCAACUGCACAUCUCCACCCACACAACACAACUUUUCCCUCAGAUCCGCCUGAUGACCUGUACGUAUGGAUAUACUUUGACUUACUUCAGUCUAAAAUUGCAAAGUUAGUGUAAUGAGCAGGGUUUUGCUAACACUAUUCAUUUUGACAGAACAAAAUAAGUGAGCAUCUGCAAAACAGUUUAGUACGUAGAUUGGGGGCGAUGCAAACCUCCCAGUGGACAUCAUCGCAAGUAGCUGUCAUGAAGAAAUCUUUCACUGACACAGCUGCAGUGGAAAGAGAGCAUAUGAUCAAGCCCUGGGUUUAAGAAAAAAAUGCCAAACCAAGAAAAACCAGCAUUGCCUUAUUCUUUAUGGAAAGAAGCAACCUUCAUUCAGCGUUAGAUAAAGAUAUGAUGCAAAAAUGAAGUUUGCAAACAUAAGUUGGGAGUCUAGGAUUUCACUUUGGUAACAGCAGAUUAUUAAGUUUUUAAAGCCAGAAGACAUCAUGUCAUCCAGUCUGCUGUCCUAUAGAAAUAUAUCUUGACUUGAGAGUCAUUAACUAAGGGAAACAAUUCUGCAAAAUUCAUAUUAGGGAAGCUGGCUUGCACAAUGUUGAAAAUGGUCUCUUGGUUUUCUGAGGUGUCUGGGACAAAGGCAAGUGGAAAAACUUACUAUUUAAAUUAUUUUUUCUUUUCAGUAAAGAUUGACUAUAGCAAGGUUAAAUGUAUUCUGAAUUUUCACAGUUCUUCAAAAGUCUCCUUUUGUAGAAAGUCCAAAAUGUGCAAACAUUUGCACUAUUCUUAUAUAAAAGAGAGUUUCCAACUGCUCUGAUGAUGUUCCAUCAUCAAAACACAGAGGUUAAUGCUGAAUAUUAACCUCUUUAAUUGUGUACAUUUUAGCUCUUAUACCACAUAGAAUACUAUAUGUGAAGUAUCCUGCUGUUCAAAGACCUCCAUAAUACUGUGCACAAUAAGGAGGGUUAAUGAUUCACAAUUUUUUGGCAAAUGCAGACUGAAACAGACCUUUAAUCCAGUGUUCAUGCAGGUUUUGUUGUGUGAAAGAUAAUGUUGUGGGAAUUGGGUCUGAGUAAAAGAAUUAACAUUGCUUAGCCUUUUAGGAAGUGCCAGGAAAGUGUUUGAGACAAUGGCAAAACUAGGAAGAGUGUCGCUUUUUGUGCAGAGCACACUAUCCUCAUAUGACAAACUCUCCUGCUGUUGGUCCCUAUAUCUCAUUGUGUAUUUAAUAUUUGGGUUCGAAUAACUACCUUACAGUUGUUCCACUUCAUUUGAUCAUAGCAUGACUGAUCAAAGCAGCACAGAAAAUAAGCAGCGAGUCAUCAAUUUCAAGCUUUUCAAAAAGGCUGAUUUUUUUCCCUUGGGUUUGGAUAUAAACCUGACUUUAGCAAAACAAAUUUAACACAUGGAAAAGUGGAGUAGACUAGCCACUGUUUUCAGUUCCUGAAAUCAGUAUAGAGGCCUAGACAUAUGCAAGCUGUUCUGUCUGAAGCAUAUGGCCUGGUGUGCCGCUUUUACAGAUCCAGCAUAUUUUAUAUUUUUUCACAACAUGACAUAUGGGUUGUGUAUCAAUUUUAUUUUAGUGGUUCUAAGGAAAUCUCUGCCUCUGCUGUCACCCACAACUGGGGAAUGGAAGACAGGGUGAGCCAGAUGAAUUGGAAACUCCUAUGGCUUUUUGAAAAAACAAGGCUAUUGUGCCACCAAGCAAUGAACAGACACUGUCCUGCAAUUGUGAAUGUAACAGAGGGAUAAAUGUUGCCUCCCGCACAGUGUCUGAUGCUGCAAGUACCCUUUAUCCUUGAUGUUGAGCAAUGCCCAACAGCUGAACUGAAAGGAUCUUCAAGUGCUUCAAAAGGAGAAUUUUGUACUGUGAACACAAAUAAUCUGAGUAUGAGCUAAAUAAAUAUUGUCAGAUACUGCUGUGAUGUCAGAUAUCUAAGCCAGUCUGUGUUCUCAUGGGUUUUCACCGUGUUCCCAGGAUCUUUAUGGCCCAUAUACUAUGUAUAUGAAUAAAAAGGAAUAAAAUUAACUAACUCAUAAUGAAACCACAUAUGAAAAUAUGUAUUAGAUUAUCUUUGACAUUGCCAGAAUAUUAUAUAAAAUGUUACAGAUACCUAGCUUUGCUGUGGCCUAAGCAGUACCUGCAGAGUGAAUCUAAGUUCCCCUUCUCUGAAACCGAUAUUCAACUAAACAAAAACAAUUUGAGGUCAUCAGAGUCAGGUAAGACAUCUCAAAGGAAUGCAUGUAAGGCAGUUUGGAAGAUUUGCAUAUGGUUCACUUAGGAGGUAGAAAUCCCUUUUGAAGUUGAGCAGAAUGAUAAAGUUUUGGUAUGAAAGUGUCAUUUAGUCUAUUUAAAAUCAGCCAUAUAGAAUUCACCUUUCACCAUCAGAUGGCUCAACAAAGUUAGUGGAAAAUCUCUGCUUCUGCCUGAAAAGCUUAAUUUUCAAUAUGGUAAAAGGAGGCUCAUUUAAAAGCGUAAUGAUUCAAUUGUUUGUAACUUUUUUAGCCCCAAUGAAGGUCAGUAGUACUUAUUUCAAGGUCUAAGUGAGGGCCAUUUUAUAACCUGAUUGUACAGUUUUGCUUCUGUACCUCAGUAUUAACCUCUGUGGUGAAGAAUCACAAUUUUAAUAGCAAUGGAUUAAUUUCCAUGUUACACUGCUUGUUGAAUAUGACACUUUGUGCAUUCCUAUAGUGUGAGAACUAUAAAGUGACGUUAAGAGGUUUUGUCACAUUGAGAAGUUACAAGAUAGUGUUUUUAAUGAGGGAGAAAAUCUGUGAGUGCUUUCUUUAAUUUAUUACUACAUAAUGAACCUUCAUUCAGCUUAUAUUACUGAUGAAUGUGUGCUUAAAAGAAAAAAAAAGCAGAUAGAAGUACGUAUGGGGUUUUUUAUAUAUCAUACUUUCUCUGGGAUCUACAUUCUGAUCUCCUGCUUUAUGCUACUUCUGAUAAGUUACACAAUGGAAAACAAUAAGAAAUUAAUUGCCUAAAGCUUAUAUGUCAUGGUAUUGUGUGGAAAAGUGUGCUUUUCCCCCUUUUAACCAGUUUACUUCACAGUCAGUACCAGAGUACACCCGAACCAUUUUUAGAGGUCUAGACUGGUCAAGGAUGGCUACCUCACACAGAGUAAGAACCAUUCUUGAAAAAUACAUCUGCUUCUAUACCAUCUUCAAUUAAAUGAUAUUUACUGCCUGUCUACUGGUCUGUAUGGAUAAAUAUACCAAGCAGUAUCACUUAAAAGAGGACAUUCUUUUAAAGGUUUGACUGGAUUUCUUAACACUGUAGAACUGAAGGAUUGUGAGGAACAGGGAUAAGGAGACAUAUCCCCUCCCUCUCUUUCAGUGCUCAUGUUCAGUCCUACACCACCUGCAUGUCACAAUUCUGUUGUUCUCAUCAACCACCUUGUACUCAUAAUGCAAGAACAUUCUCCCUGAAUGUCGUAAAGCCAUGUGUUGCCAGAAAGAAGUGAGUUCAGAAAUAUACUUUUGCGUUAUACUAACCUGGAGCAUAAAAGACCUCUGAGGAAUCCAUGUUCUAGUCUGUAUGAGAGAGGCAUCAAGAUGUUGGAGGGGCUUUCUAAAAGCUGGCAAGCAUAUCAAAGACGGUUCACCUCUGUCCACUUUCUUACUCAUGUUUCUGUGAAAAGGUCUCUGUGAAAGGCCUUUUUCAAAGUUAAGCUCUGGGAGAGAUUUAUCACAGAUUUUACACAAAGAUUCUUAUGUAAACAUGUGUUAAAUGUUUCAAAGCAUGAAAAAAUUCUUACUGUGUUGUAGCUUUAUAUGCAAUUUUUAUUAACUUGUAACUCACAAGUGUGAUCAAGAAACAUUUGUACCAGCAUUCUAGAUAACACAAAGAAGAAGAAUGGACUCCUGUGAAAUACCUGAGAAAGGUAGGGGAAAAAAAAAUGUAAUUACAUGGCAAGUUAAUGAAAGCACCAGUUCUAUUACAUUAAUUUUUAAUAUAAUAUCUAUCCUUCCUACACUGUUAGAAUGUCUCCAGAUCUGAAGUUUCAUACUAUAAUAGCUCAACUAAGUAUGUCAAGUACUUCUGUUUGAAAUUGGCACCUGAUUCCUGUAUAUUCUGAAGCUUAAAGUUUUUUUAUUCUUUUUUUGUGUUUCUGCUGUUAUAUUUCAGCAGUUCAAAUAUGGAAUUAGAGUCAGAACCAUGAUAUAGAAUUGGAAACUUUAUUUUCAGUGAAAAAAUCACAAGAUUUGUGGGAAAAUUGCAUUUCUAGUUUGGACAGUAAAUCUCAACAAACUCAAAUUUAUCCAAAGCUGGCCAGAAAGUCAAAACUUAAAAAUUUGUAGAUAUUUCUAAAAAGAAAGGCUUUAUUUCUUGAAAUAUAUGCUACUGAAAUUUAUUCUGACAUUUUUAAAGCUGUGCAAUUUUUCAUUUUUAAAUAGCACUUGAGAUUUUCCUCAACAGAAUGCAACCAGCAGGGGGAAAAAAAGGGAGAACUUUAGUUUUCAAGUCAAAUGAACAUUAAGUUGAAGCAAAAUGUAUCAUUUUAUCUUAUUUUGUUAAAUCACUCAUAUCCUUACCCCAAAAUUUCUGUUUUAGUUUCACCUCAACAGAUUUUAACUUUUUCCGUUUUUGUUCCAGCCACCAUUCUCAAGACAGUUAUUGCAGGACGUGAUUGCCCAGUUUGUUGUUUUCUGCAUGUCUCUCUGGGAAAAUCACUUUCCUUACAUCAGAUAACACCAAUACUCUAGUAUUUGAAAGCAGAAGCAACACUACAUGCUUAUUCCACAGUGUUGUUAAGCAUGAAACAAGGUUUGUAAAUGAGUUUGUGUUUCCUCAGGCUUUUUCAUUGAAAGGGAAGAGAGAAUUAUUUUUCAGUGCAUCAGAUACUUUGUCUGGAAGAUAUGUUCACUCAUUGGCUUAAGAUAAAACACUGGAGUUUGUUUCCACAAGUGCUGAAGAACCAUGUCUUGUAUAACUUGAGUGCUACCACUUGCUUACCUUGCAGAAGCUGAAGUCAAGAAGAAUGGUGUUAAAAUCUCUAACUGUAGGAAAAAAGGCACGCUCACAGGUAUACUACCAUUUGUAUGUAAGAAAGAGCUGAAUAAAGUCCUUUGUAUAGAAAACAUGAAAGAAAUUAUGUAUUUGCACUUUGAAGAGUAGAAAUUAACAAAUAAAAAAUAGCAAUAAUGAAAAAUUAAUAGAAUCUUGUGUACAAACCUUUCAGACCUAGUUUUGACCACUAAACUAUGUGUAAGGAAGGAUGCGCUAUUUAUUGUACAGAAAAUAUUGAAACUUUGUGAAAUUAAGCCUUAUUUAAGACUAGAUUGUACCUUUUUUGCUAGGUUGUAGAAAUACCUAGCAGAGGAUGAACAGAGUGCCCAGCAGUCUGCUGUUGGCACUAUCUGGCCUUGAUUCCAGGCCCCUCUUUCUCCUGUCCUAGCUGAAAAUUUUGUCUUUUGAUCAAAGUGCAAUGGCAUCAACAGGAAAACUGAAAGCGGUUUGCUGGAAAGCUCUUGGCAUAGUUGUUAAGUAUCUCUAUUAGCUAUCCUAAAUCAGGCAGGAUGUAAAUUAAAGCCUUGAUUGACUGCAUAAAGACUGCUUACUGUCUUAGCCAUUGCUCCCACUUUUCACCCAAACAAGAUUCCAAACCUAAACAAUCCCACUAUUUCCCUCCUCAGGCAAGUCCAGGAACAAAACAUCUGUCUUAGUCUUUCCUUCCUGGUUCUUUGGAAAUACCUUGCCUCUUUGUACUACCCAUGGUUGGCAGUUUGGGCACUGAGAGCAUAGGACAGCUGUUUUCAAUUCCUCCCCUUGGCUCCAUAAACUACAUCUAUACUCAUAAAUCAAACAUUCCCAGGACCAUUCUUAUCACGGAGGCCAGCUGGAAUAGAGCAUCUCAUGUCCACACUAUUGCACUCUUUCCCCCUCCAACAAGGGUGACAUCAUCCAAAUUGCCUAACAGGACUAGUCCUUGGCCUGUUGUAACUCCCAACUGUGCUUGGUAAUUGUCUGGGAGAGUCAUAGUUGACCCAGAGCCAGAACUGCACCAGAGAGUUUUUUACAGAUGGUUAUGUUCCAAAGGUCCAGCAUGUUCCCUGCAUGAUUCUAGCAUAAAUGCAGUUAUAUCAUUCUUUGACAGAAAUAGAUGGGAAUUGCAAGGAAAGUCUUUCUUAUCCCUGUGUAAGUAUGUAAGUAUAUUCAGCUUUACUAAAGUCUAGGAGAAAUAGACUGUAAACACGGUGCUUCCCAAAUCCACUUUUUAUCAAGCUGUUCAAGAGAGAAAUUUCUAUUAAAACAAAUCUGGCAAAGUGACAAGCAAUUGAAAACAAGGUCCUAUGUGUGUUUAUUCAAAUUGGUAUACCAUUAAUAGGUAUCCUACAGUUGUAAGUUUGCAUGUUAAAAACCAUGUUCCUGAAAGGCUUGAUUUUUAAGUCUACCAACACAAUUUACACUUUCAUUUUUGCACCUGCAUCUUAUACUAGGAAUGCAUAUCUGGAUAUUUGAGACUGUGAUGAGUUCGUUGUUUGUGAAAAUUAUGUAGUGGAGACCUAUAAGUACUAGAUUUUAGUGUAUUUCUCUUCCUUCAAGAUUGCGACUUUCUGUGAUUCAUUAGUUUCAGCAAGCUGUGCAAUUUUGCAGCUUGUGCACAAAAAUGGAAAAUAUUAAUUAGCAAUAUUCUCAUUGUUUGUUUAAGAAAAACAUUACAAACUGGUUGAAAUCUGCUUCCACAUUUUCCUGUACUUACUCCAAUGUGUAGAGGAAAAUUGCUGGUAGUGUUAGAAAGCAUUGAAAAGAUUAAAUAUAGAUAUCUAGCCUUAGGGAGUGUAAAUUAGCAUGUUUUUAAUUGAUUGCAAUAUUCAGGGAAACACUCCUCAAAGAAAAUUAAUUUUAGAGCAGCAUAUUUUGACAAGCACAUGUGCCAAUUUAAAAAUCUGUGAUCAACUUAAAAUAGGUUUUAAAGACAACAAAGGACUGUUUCUAAUAUUAUAGCAAUGAACAUGGUCUUUUAAGCAUGUUUUCUCUGGAACUGAUUCACAUAGUAUAUAGAAAUUGCCAUAACCUUUCAACAUUUUUUAAUAGAGUUUUUAGGGGCAUAUUUUAAUCUGAGUUACACUGGAGUGAAUAGAAUAAUUCCUUUGAAGAUAAGAGUUGCCCCUAAUAUGUGGCAGUGUAAUUGAGAGCAGAAUUGAGCAUACAAAGCCCUUGUCUGAAAGAAAACGCCAAUUGGCUUAAAACUGGGAACACUAAGAGACUGCUUGCUAGGCAGGCUAAUCAAUGGCACCUCAAACACCGAGUGGAAUCUUUAAAUGUUCAUUAAUAUUAUGUUGCUUUUUCACUCUCUCUCCAUUUUGUAUUUCAGAACUCUCUUCUCUAAUUGACACAGGUGGAUUUCCAUCCAUUUUUGCAUGCUUACAUUAAUCCUGCAUACAGCACAUAGAGAUGGGAUGGUACGAAAGAGCCAACUGAUUCUUGGUGAAGCUGCUAACUUAGCUUGCUCUUAUUUAAUAAAAAAGGACAGAAGAAUUGCCUAGGAUUUAUUCAAUAACAGAUACAGUCAUCUCUCAUCUUUCAUUUCUUAAGGAUUAAGGACUUAGAAAUACUUAGGUGUAGUGCUGUACUAGAGCAUCAGGAACUUUCCUCCAGUCUCUAGUUAGAUUUGUAUGCUCCUGCAAAUGCUCCUUUGCUUGCUGUAUAAUGCUAAGAAGGGCCUCUUCCAUCCCCUUUUUUGGCUUGUAUGACUCUCAUCUGACCUUCUCUGUGUGGGAGAAUGGAUGUGCUGUCUCACAGUGCUUGUCUUAAUACUUGGCAAUGUAAGAAAUUCUGUUUGCAGUGAACAAAGUCUGAAAAAAGUCAGAGUCCAUGUUACCUCCUAAAGAAUGGAAGUCAAAAAAAAUUCCAAAAAUUGACCUAUCCCUCUGUAUUAGUCAUUAAAAGCUGUGAGAUACAAGCAUGAACUGUCACAAGGAGAAGCAUGGAAGCAUCUCUUGUGGUAAAAGGUAGUCUUAAUCUAAUUUAAGUGGAAUUUCAUUUUAUCUAGCAGUAUGAUCAAAAUGUUCACUCAAAUGAUGUGAAAUGAUUCAAAUUUCUUCAAUAUGCCUAAAUGUGCUCAAUCUGCCUCAGUAUGAUUCCAAGCAGUGAAAAUACUGUGUUUUCUGUUUUCCAGGUUGAAAUAAAUAGAGUUACACCACAGAAGACACUAAGCUCGUCAUGUCUAUAUUGUAGAACAUCUGUAUGAAGUGCAAAUCAACAAAUAAAAUGUUUGUUAUAUGCAUGAUCUCAUAAAGGUCCAUUUCCAGUUUUCCUAUAGAAUAAACAAUGAACAGCUACAAGUUGAUUU